ensembl:snRNA LOC120103237 U6 spliceosomal RNA
AUGCUUGCUUCGGCAGCACGUAGACUAAAAGUGGGAUGAUACAGAGAGGAUUAGCAUGGCCCUGAGCAAGGAGGACACACAA